rfam:Dipodomys ordii contig_16662, whole genome shotgun sequence.
GGGAAGGUGGCUCAGUGGUAGAGUGCUUGCCUUGCAUGCAUGAGGCCCUGGGUUCGAUUACUCAGAAUUACUC